AUNCCAUUAAAUUUUGUCAGUAAUUUUGUUGGUGAAGAGUAAGAAAAAAAUAUAUUUUAGUUUUAAUAGCAUCCUCGCCAAAUUUUUGCAGUAGAGUAAGUUUAAUAUUAGAUUAGAAUUCAUAUUUGUCUUAAUGUUAAAAAUAAUGAAAUAAAAUACAGAUCAACACUCAUAAUCCAUGUCUAUGGCUGGUGUGUAUCAUGGACUCACAACAGUAAACCGCCGAGCUGCCAGUUUAUAUUUAUUUAUCUUAACUUAUAAUUCACCUUAUCCACAGAGUAAAAAGUGAAUGCAUGAUAUACAAUAUGCCAAUCUGUACUUAGUCUGUUUUUACUAGUAAUAGUUCGGCACAAUAAUUGUAAAACUAAUAAAGUUGUGAAAUGUUAUUUUUUUUAAAAUAAAUUAAAUAGAAUAAAAAACCAGUUUUGUUGUUUAUUCAAGAAACUUUUGUCCAAAAUACGAAAAGAUAAUUUAUUAAUUUUAUUUAUCAAAUGAAUAAUACUUAAAUAUGAUUAAUUAAUCGAAUGGUGGUAAUAAAUCUUGUAGUUUCAAUAAAUUCGAAAUUAUAAAUAUCAGAAGAGAAGAGAAACAUAUAGCAUCAGUCGAAAAAGGUGGGACAAAUUUACUAUAGGUUUUACGUAAAAAACGAUGAAUUAUAUGAUACACCAAAUGAGAUAUACGUUAAUAUUGGUCAUUGUGGUAAGCAUUGAAUGAACAUAGAAAUAAAAAAUAAAUAUAGGUAUUUGACUCAAAAAGGGAUACUUUCUUAAAAUUUUGCGGAGCAUGUCAAACACAAACGUCAUCUAACCGAAAAGUUCUUGUAGGUAAACCGUUUAAUCAUUCUGAAUGAAUAUUAUAGUAAAUUAAAUGUAUAUGCAUUAAACAUUUUCUUUAAAAAUAUUUGAUCAAUUUUGUAUUUAUUUUCUCGUUAUCCUGAUUUUGACAUAUUUAACUUUUUGGGAGGGAUUUGAAUAUCAUAAAAUUUAUUUUAAUAAUAUAAUAAUAUUAUUAACUAAAGUAUUUUAAUUACUUUUUACAAAAAGUAAUAACAAUUACUACCUCCUAAUUAUAGUCAUAUCAAAACAUCAAAUCAUACAAGUAAUAAUCGGCACAAAAUAGGUAUGUAGGCACCUAUAUUAUAAAAUACAUGACUAAUAUCAUACGUAAAUAUUUUGUACAAUAAUAUUAUGUUAUUAUAUGGCUUUAUGAAUAAUGCAUAGUUUAUAAUUAAUAGUAAUUAAAAUAAGUGAAAAUUUCCAUAAUUUUAGUAAUUUUCAAAUUAAAAUAAACACAAAAAAGUAAUUUUUGAUCCUGUAUCGAAUAGGCAGUGAACCUGCGGUAAUUUUAACUGCAGUAAUUUUUUCAAUUAAUUUAUCUUAGACAGUCUAGUGAAAGUGAUCACACCAUAAUAAUCUACCUUAAAUGUAGGAUUAUAGUGUUUCAAUGAUUUUAAUGAUUUCAAUAGUACAAUAUUUUAUAUUUAAACAUUUAAUAACGUUAAAUUUUAUUGUAAUAUAACUGAUUUUGUCUGAUUCAAAUCAACUUUUGUUGAAUAGGUAAUUUACAAACUUGGCUAUCUAAACCUCUAGCAAGAACAUUUGGAUAAUCAGUCAACUACUACUAUAACGUAAAGUGUAGCAAUUAUUACUGGCAACUGGAAUCAUACCUAUUACUAAAUAUAUAUUGUUAAGACCGUAACGUUUAAGUGAAAUAUAUUAAAAUCAAAGCAUAAAAUUAAUUUUGUGUCUCCUAAGAAUAUCGUAUUAUUCGAGUAUCUAUUUCGGAUUUAUUGCAAAUAUGCUGUUAAAAUUUAUCGUAUCGUAUGUUAUUAUUUAUUCUUUUAUGCCGGUGUCAGUACACGGUAUAGGUGAGCAUACUCCUGAUCUGCCGCCUUUUCUCCCUGAAGAUCCGUAUUUCAAUUACCCUGGCCCUCUAACAAAUCCUAAUUUACCUGAAAAUCCAGGUACUCCUGGUCAACCUCACCGUUAGAUUCAAAGACAUUAAAAAUCAACUUUUGUCUGUACAAUAUUUGUGUAAUACAUUUAUCAAAAGUGAUAAAAUAAAAUAGUUUUUAAUUACAGUUUAUUUGUUGUAUUUAUUUCAUGAGACAUUACUUACUCAUCAUAUCACCUAUAAUGAUACUGUGAGAGUUUAGUUAUUUGUUUGUAAUAUUGAAAACCUUAACUCCAAAAUUAAUAC
rnacentral:lncRNA from 1 species